rnacentral:tRNA from 1 species
GGAUUGUGGCUCAGUGGUACAGUGCUUGCCUGGUACGAGUGAGGCAUCGAGUUCGAUCCUCAGCACCA